CACGUAGGGUGCGAGCGUUGUCCGGAAUUAUUGGGCGUAAAGAGCUCGUAGGCGGUGUGUCGCGUCGGCCGUGAAAACCUGCAGCUUAACUGUGGGCUUGCGGUCGAUACGGGCAUCACUGGAGUUCGGCAGGGGAGACUGGAAUUCCUGGUGUAGCGGUGAAAUGCGUAGAGAUCUGGAGGAACACCGAUGGCGAAGGCAGCCUUCUGGGCCAACACUGACGCUCAUGCACGAAAGCGUGGGGAGCAAACAGG
rnacentral:rRNA from 1 species